GGACACGUCUUCGAAGAGGAUGUUGAAGACUUUUCAAGAAUCAGACGUGCCGCUGCCGCCGCCACUGGUGAGGGUGAGGCCAAAGACGCGGUGGAUGGCACGAGAAUGUUGGAUGACCUGACGCUGAUCAAGGAGAUACGGUACAAUUGCAGCAUCUACUUCACGUACUUCUGGAUUCAGGAGGUAGAGAGAAACUUCGUGGAGGAUUAUGAUGAUUCUUAUGUGGACCUCAAAGCAGUAGGCUCCAACUGCCCGAAAGAUGAUUACAAGGAAACCAUAACGUUCAACCCGAUCUGUAACCUGGAAAUAGUGUGCGACAACUUCGGCUGCUUCGAUUACUUCCUCCAAGAUUACAAGGAGAAAGUGAAUGAUACCUACCGCUGCCCGUCCUGUGGCAAGGGCGAGUGUUGGAUGAAGACUUGGCUCGAGGACUACGAGAAUGGCUUCCUGGACGCGUACCAAGUGAGUGGAAUCUUCAGUGCGAGUCGGACAGCGGACUUCUCAGACAUGCUGGGCGUCUACUCACCCUCCAAGGAAGACAUCGGAAAGUACUCCCUGUCAGCCAAGGAAUUCAUUAAGUCCUGCAGCUACGACCGUCGCCCCUGCAACCACAAGCAAUUCUUCUCGUGGACAAGUGAUCAGUUCGGCCAGUGCUACACCUUCAACUCUGCCCUCCGCAAGAUUACUCACAAUGGCAAGACCUUCUUGGCCCGGGUAAAGGCCACCACAUCCACGGGGCCUAUGAACGGGCUCCGACUCUCCUUGAACAUCAACGAAGACGAGUACCUGUCGCUUCUCUCUCCCGACACCGGCGUGAGAGUUAUCGUGCACAGUCCCCACCAGCUGCCAUUCCCAGAGGAGGAGGGCUUUAACGUGUCCCCCGGCGUCAGUGUCUCCGUCAGCAUGUCCAGGAAAAUCAUCCAGAGAGUGGGUUACCCUCAUGGAAAGUGCAGGAGUGAAACUGGUUCUUCAGUAUACAAGGAAUACACAAGUCUCAGGUGCAAGAAGGUGUGCCUGGAGGAAGAGUACUGGCGGGAGUGUGACUGCUACGUAGGGAAGAGCCCCGUGUACCAUCAAGACAAGCAACAUGUUCUCCGGCCUGAGAUCGCCUGCUCUCCAUUCAACAUGAGGCAUAAGCUGUGCAUGGAGAUGGUGCAGUACGCGUACCUUAAGGGCAAACUCCAGUGUAACUGCCCGCCUGCCUGCAAAGAGACGGUGUUCAAUCCACAAGUGACGGUCAGCAAGGGAAACCAGAAAUUUUUCACCAUUCUACAGAACUUGAAGAAAACAGUGGUGGACGAUAGUCUUUGUAACAAUUACGGCAACAACAGUGAUCCUGUCCGCCUGCACUUCUACAUGAACUCCCUCGCCUAUGAGAAGAUCGAGGAGAGUCCCGCCUUCACGUGGAACACUCUGGUGUGUAAUGUGGGCGGCAACCUGGGCCUUUUCCUGGGCAUGUCCAUCGUGACCCUGGUGGAACUGCUGGAGUUCCUCAUCGACCUGCUGUUUGGCUGCUGCAACUGCAGGAGGAAUGACACCAUGCAUCGUGGUGGUGGUGGUGGUGGUGGCAACUCCCCGGUGAUAGGUCAGGAUGGCUUCUAUUGAUGCCUCCCUUCUCACCCUCAGCCUUAAUACUUUACUGCCCUACUGCCCCCACUAGAAGCACGGCCAGCACCUCCGCCUCCCCAUCAGCCCCAGGACAGUCAGUGGUGGGAGAGAGAGAGUUACUACUCCCCAAGACGUGUUGCUUCUGCUGCCUUUAACAGAAUCUUCAUGGGUAAAUAAAUU
rnacentral:misc_RNA from 1 species